GGUGAACCCGCUGCUGGAUCAUUAC
rnacentral:rRNA from 1 species